CCUACGGGUGGCUGCAGUGAGGAAUCUUGGUCAAUGGGCGUAAGCCUGAACGAGCCAAGUCGCGUGCGGGAUGAAGGUUCUAUGGAUCAUAAACCUCUUUUAUAAGGGAAUAAAGUGUGGGACGUGUCCUAUUUUGUAUGUACCUUAUGAAUAAGGAUCGGCUAACUCCGUGCCAGCAGCCGAGGUAAUCCGGAGGAUCCGAGCGUUAUCCGGAUUUAUUGGGUUUAAAGGGUGCGUAGGCGGCCUUUUAAGUCAGCGGUGAAAGUCUGUGGCUCAACCAUAGAAUUGCCGGGGAAACUGGGAGGCUUGAGUAUGUUUGAGGCAGGCGGAAUGCGUGGUGUAGCGGUGAAAUGCUUAGAUAUCACGCAGAACCCCGAUUGCGAAGGCAGCUGGCCAAGCCAUGACUGACGCUGAUGCACGAAAGCGUGGGGAUCAAACAGGAUUAGAUACCCCUGUAGUC
rnacentral:rRNA from 1 species